UCAUAAAGAUCAUCAGCAGAUGGACGAACUUCCCAGUUACCAGAAUUGAUAACCUUUGAAGACGGUGGGGAUUCACGAAUAUGUUUGGACUUUCUUAAACGAUAAGAUAACGGUGAUAAACUAAUGGAUCUGUCAUCACCUCUACAGUAUUCAGGAGUUUUAGGCGAAGAUAGUUCAUUUGCUUUCAAAUCCGUAGCAGCCUCUGUGUUAAUGGAAAGUUUGGAUUGAAUGUUGUGAUGAUUUUCUUUAGGUACUUGGG